AGAGUUUGAUCCUGGCUCAGGGUGAACGCUAGCGGUGCGCCUAACACAUGCAAGUCGAGCGGUAUUAAUAUUAUUGAUCUCUUCGGAGUGAAGCUACAUUAAGAGAGCGGCGAACGGGUGAGUAACACGUUGGUAUCUGCCUUUAGGUCAGGGAUAGCCCACUGAAAAGUGGAUUAAUACCGGAUAGUCUCUUCGGAGUAAAAAUUUAUUGCCUAAAGAGGAACCUGCGGUCUAUCAGCUUGUUGGUAAGGUAACGGCUUACCAAGGCUAUGACGGAUAACUGGUCUGAGAGGAUGAUCAGUCACAAUGGAACUGAGACACGGUCCAUACUCCUACGGGAGGCAGCAGUGAGGAAUCUUCCACAAUGGACGAAAGUCUGAUGGAGCGACACCGCGUGAAGGAUGAAGGCCUAACGGUCGUAAACUUCUUUUCUGAGGGAGCAUAAUGAGAGUACCUCAGGAAUAAGGGACGGCUAAUUACGUGCCAGCAGCCGCGGUAAUACGUAAGUCCCAAGCGUUACCCGGAAUCACUGGGUGUAAAGGGUUCGUAGGCGGUAAAAUAAGUUGAAUAUGAAAGACCGGAGCUCAACUCCGUGUUUGUGUUCAAAACUAUUUAACUAGAAUCAGGGAGAGGUAAGCGGAAUUAUGUGUGUAGGGGUGCAAUCCGUAGAUACACAUAAGAACACCGAAAGCGAAGGCAGCUUACUGGAACUGUAUUGACGCUCUGGAACGAAAGCGUGGGUAGCGAAAAGGAUUAGAUACCCUUGUAGUCCACGCCCUAAACGAUGAUAACUAAGUGUUGCGACUUGAUCGCAGUACUGAAGCUAACGCGAUAAGUUAUCCACCUGAGGAGUACGGUCGCAAGAUUAAAACUCAAAGGAAUAGACGGGGACCCACACAAGCAGUGGAUCACGUGGUUUAAUUCGACAAUAAACGGGGAACCUUACCCAGACUUGACAUCUAUCGAAUCUCGCAGAAAUGCAAGAGUGCCUUUAUUGGAGCGAUAAGACAGGUGCUGCAUGGUUGUCGUCAGCUCGUGCCUUGAGGUGUUCGGUUAAGUCCGUUAACGAGCGCAACCCAUGUCGUUAGUUAUUAUGUCUAACGAGACUGCCUUGGUUAACAAGGAGGAAGGUGUGGAUGACGUCAAAUCAGCAUGGCUUUUACGUCUGGGGCUACACACAUGAUACAAUGGUAUGUACAAAGAGCAGCAAUAUGGCAACAUGGAGCUAAUCUUAAAAGCAUAUCUCAGUCCGGAUUGAGGUCUGAAACUCGACCUCAUGAAGUUGGAAUUGCUAGUAAUCGUGAAUCAGAUAUGUCACGGUGAAUAUGUUCCUGGGUCUUGUACUCACCGCCCGUCAUGGCAUGGGAGGUAGCAAUAUUGGAAGUCCCUCAAGUAAUAUGGGGGCCCAUAGUAGGGCUACUGACUGGGCUAAAGUCGUAACAAGGUAACC
rnacentral:rRNA from 1 species